rfam:Eubacterium saphenum ATCC 49989 genomic scaffold Scfld0, whole genome shotgun sequence.
UUUUAAAGCUAGGGGAGCAGUAGCUGAGAAGUGGCAAAGCCACGACCCUCAUACCUGAACCGGAUAAUGCCGGCGUAGGGAAGCUAUAAUAGGUAUUU